GGGGAAAAGUCUAAUCAGAGAAACAAGAAGUAAGGUUUUCAGUAAAACAACUCCUCUCAAGAUCUUGGGUACAUCAUAGGCUGAAGUUCAGUUCAAGGGAAUCAAAAUUGCUGCUCAGAAGGAAUCCUGUGCCGUGGCUGCAGUAACUCAGUAUUUCCAGUGAGAGAAUGAACUCUUAAGGAACCCCAAGGAGGCUGUAUUUAAUGCAGCAAAGUAUCAGAGUGUAAAACUUCCAUAUGGAGGAAGUACAGGGCGCUUCUUUAAGAAUAGGUUUGCAUACUGAUGAGAGACAGCACUGCAG
rnacentral:lncRNA from 1 species